AUGAGGUGAGAUCAGAUGAAGAUGAGUCAGAUUGCACUAAAUGGUUUAGCUGUACACGCAAUGGCACUAAUCCAACCCUGCAGACAACUGAAAAUCAAAGUAUCAUUUGUCAACAUCAAAACAAGAUAAACAACCUGUGGCAGAACGCAGAACAUCCACAGAGCCUCCUCCAUCAGAGUGGAUUUAUACCAUGUAGGGUCGAGCCUCACCUGCGCUUAGCCUGAGGAGGGGAGUGGCUCCGGGACUGGGAGGGCGACGACGAGAAGGAGCAGGAGCGCGGCCGGGAGCGGGACGAGAUGGAGCCGAAGGAGAUGGAGUGGGACGGCGAGCAAGAUGAAGAUCCUGAGAAGGAACGAUGUAGGGUUUACAGAGUCUUACUCUGACAACAGAGUUCUAUCAUUGCCGAAGCUCUUGUUGAUGGCAUCACAACCCCAUGCAUAAUAACGGAAGCAAUUGCAGGCGAGGAACCCAACAAGGUAAUGACAGUAAAAAUAUUUAAGUCAUGGGAUUUUGUUGUGUUAAGUCAUGAUGAAUAGUAUUAGGUGGUACAUAUACAUAAUAUGAUUUGUUUAGAGAUAGAGUUCUCAAAGAUAGAGUUUUGAAACCUAUACAGAAUAGCAUUUUGAUGAAUCUGCCAUGUGAGGAGUGCUUUGAUGCCGUAACAUUCAUAAAAUUUACAUCAACACAUUAUGAUGAUGCUACACUGCAAAGCAUCUGUUACAGAGAGAGACAUACAAAAAAUCUCAACCAUAGCUUCCCCACCGAGAAGGUGGAACUGUUUCUAGACAACCAGACCAGAACACCCGAAUUUUUUUGCUAUUUGGUAUUUUUUUGGAAAAAAAUAAAGUUUAAAGAUUUAAUAUCGUUUUUAGACCUUUUGCUCGGCGUCAUAGGUCGUGACGCCGAGCUACCUGAUGCGCUGCCACCUACAUGGUCGUAUCUCGGCACCAACGCCGAGCUCCUUGAGAAAUUACUUUCCAGGUAAAGCUAACUACGAGUUGGCGCGAAAUCGAGUUGUUUUUGUUUUUUUACCAGUUGCAUGUGCUUCGUUGGUGACGGUUGCAGCAUAGAAAUCAGCAGCAUAGAAAUCAACAAUGGACGAGACAGGGCCAUGUGCUUGCGUCAUAGCAAUCGAUGAACAGACGACAAGAGAAGCCAAUUGAACUAAAAAAACAGGUUUAGAGGAUUAUAGUUCAAAUCUACUAAUUUUAUAUUUGUCUCACCUUUUCUUUUAUUUCUUUCUCUCCACUGGACCCGGCUUUGCAUAAUCGAUUAUGUUCAUGUGGCUAGAACCCUGGAUGUGAUGGAGGUAUAGAUAUACGCGCCCAUGAUGUGUUACACUAGUGACCAUGCUCUUGCUCCGAAAUAUAUAUAUAUAAAAUAAAAAAUGAGCACGUCUGAACAC